rnacentral:rRNA from 1 species
UACGUAGGUGGCAAGCGUUGUCCGGAUUUAUUGGGUUUAAAGGGUGCGUAGGCGGCUCUGUAAGUCAGUGGUGAAAUAUGGCAGCUUAACUGUCAGGGUGCCAUUGAUACUGCGGAGCUUGAGUACAGAUGAGGUAGGCGGAAUUGACGGUGUAGCGGUGAAAUGCUUAGAUAUCGUCAAGAACACCGAUAGCGAAGGCAGCUUACUGGGCUGUAACUGACGCUGAGGCACGAAAGUGUGGGGAUCAAACAGG